AUUGAACGCUGGCGGCAGGCCUAACACAUGCAAGUCGAGCGGCAGCGGGAAAGUAGCUUGCUACUUUUGCCGGCGAGCGGCGGACGGGUGAGUAAUGCCUGGGAAAUUGCCCAGUCGAGGGGGAUAACAGUUGGAAACGACUGCUAAUACCGCAUACGCCCUACGGGGGAAAGCAGGGGACCUUCGGGCCUUGCGCGAUUGGAUAUGCCCCGGUGGGAUUAGCUAGUUGGUGAGGUAAUGGCUCACCAAGGCGGCGAGCCCUAGCUGGUCUGAGAGGAUGAUCAGCCACACUGGAACUGAGACACGGUCCAGACUCCUACGGGAGGCAGCGGUGGGGAAUAUUGCACAAUGGGGGAAACCCUGAUGCAGCCAUGCCGCGUGUGUGAGGAAGGCCUUCGGGUUGUAAAGCACUUUCAGCGAGGAGGAAAGGUUGAUGCCUAAUACGUAUCAACUGUGACGUUACUCGCAGAAGAAGCACCGGCUAACUCCGUGCCAGCAGCCGCCGUAAGAC
rnacentral:rRNA from 1 species